AAAGGAUGCAAAAGAAUCAUUAUUCCUACAGGCCCAGGCAAGAGAGAUUGAAGAACUCCACAAGAAAGUGUCGGAACUGGUUGAGGCGAAGGAGCAACUGGAGCUCCGGAACCAGAAAUUGGCAGAAGAGAGUAUGUAUGCCAAAGGGCUAGCGUCUGCAGCAGCUGUUGAAUUGAAGGCACUUUCUGAAGAAGUUGCGAAGCUAAUGAAUCAUAAUGAGAAAUUAGCUGCUGAGCUAGCCACCACCCAGAAGAGUUCCUCUACCCAGCGUAAGCCAAGUGUUGCCAUGCGAAAUGGAAGAAGAGAUCCUCAUCCGAGACGAAAUGAGCAAAAUGUAUUGAGUGCAGAAAUGAAAAGAGAACUUGCUUUGAGCCGGGAAAGGGAGCUUUCAUAUGAAGCUGCUCUUGUGGAAAGGGAUCAGAAAGAAGCUGAAUUACAGAGUAAGGUUGAAGAAUCCAAACAAAGAGAAGCCUAUCUUGAAAACGAACUGGCAAAUAUGUGGGUUCAAAUUGCAAAAUUAAAGAAGUUUCAGGGAGUUGAAUCUGAUCCUUCUGAAUCAACCAUAUCAGAAAGCCAAAGAAUUGAUGGUUUUGAGGUUUGGGAUAGCGUUGUGCAGUCUAGUAGGCGUCAGUGAGGGAUGUUUGUACUUAGAAGCAAGGGUGAGUUGUGAUUGUAUGAUAGUUUAGUAGGUUUGUUGCAGAUUAGGAGGGCCAUUCUGUUUUUCCCCUUUUGCCACUGUAGGUAAAUUAGUCGUGAGGGACUCCCUGCAUUGUUUUGUGCAUGUUGUGAACUUACUGCUCUUGUACAGUGGUUGAUGUUUG
rnacentral:misc_RNA from 1 species